GACAGAGGUGCCGAGCGUUAGGCGGAAUCACUGGGCUUAAAGCGUGUGUAGGCGGAUCGUUAAGUACCUUGUGAAAUCCCACGGCUCAACCGUGGAACUGCUGGGUAUACUGGCGGUCUUGAGCCAUCUAGGGGCUACCGGAACAAGUGGUGGAGCGGUGAAAUGCGUAGAUAUCACUUGGAACGCCAAUGGUGAAAACAGGUAGCUGGGGAUGUGCCGACGCUGAGACACGAAAGCCAGGGGAGCGAACGGG
rnacentral:rRNA from 1 species